CCUGAGGCCAAGAAGAAUGCAUCCGUACGUGUGUACAGCCGUCCAGGGGCCUCAGCCUUCGACGCCUCCUCCAAGAUGUGAUGCCUUAAAUUUCCCCAGACAAAGUGCACAUUUAUCAGAAAGCAAAAGUUUAACCACCAGCUGCUUCUGCAAGAAACAAAAGUUUGUUUAACCUGCUGGCUGCCAUACGUAACGGGAAGUAUAAUCUUUGAGAUGUCGUUAGUUCAUUUCAGAAAAAAAAAUCUAAUAAAAGUGGAUUUACUUCAAUCAUCAUAACUACAAACAUUUCAUUAAAAUAAACUCAGAUUAAGAAAAGUAAUGUAUGCCACUGCAGUUUGUAAGAAAUGUUUAAAUAUAUGAAGAUGAUGAUCCAUUUAAACACUACACCGUACCAAUCUGAACAGUGGACUUAUCCAGGAUUUUCAAGUUUUUGGAAAAGCACAUUUUCAUACGUUAUUUCCUAAAAUGUCCGUUUAAGCCUUGUGAUGUCGUCACGUAUGGCCUUGACAAUGAUGUGAGUAUUAAAUGAACUGGUCUGUUCACUUCACUGCAUUAAAUGUAGACAAUUCUUAUUAAGCCUGCAUUAAAUACAUUAC